UCAGGAUGAACGCUAGCUACAGGCUUAACACAUGCAAGUCGAGGGGCAUCAUGAGAUUAGCUUGCUAAUCUUGAUGGCGACCGGCGCACGGGUGAGUAACGCGUAUCCACUCCCUUAGUAGGGCAUAGCCCGGCGAAAGUCGGAUUAAUACCCUAUGUUGUCAAUAGAGGACAUCUGAAGCUGACUAAAGAUUAAUCGCUAAGGGAUGGGGAUGCGUCUGAUUAGCUUGUUGGCGGGGUAACGGCCCACCAAGGCGACGAUCAGUAGGGGUUCUGAGAGGAAGGUCCCCCACACUGGUACUGAGACACGGACCAGACUCCUACGGGAGGCAGCAGUGAGGAAUAUUGGUCAAUGGGCGUAAGCCUGAACCAGCCAAGUAGCGUGCCAGGAUGACGGCCCUAUGGGUUGUAAACUGCUUUUAUGCGGGGAUAAAGUCACCUACGUGUAGGUGUUUGUAGGUACCGCAUGAAUAAGGACCGGCUAAUUCCGUGCCAGCCGCUGC
rnacentral:rRNA from 1 species